rnacentral:rRNA from 1 species
GAUGAACGCUGGCGGCGUGCUUAACACAUGCAAGUCGAACGGGAUCCAAGGGGUGCUUGCACUUUUUGGUGAGAGUGGCGAACGGGUGAGUAACACGUGAGUAACCUGUCCUUUUCUUUGGGAUAAGCAUUCGAAAGGGUGUUUAAUACCUUAUGUUCUGUCUGCCUCGCAUGGGGUGGGUGCGAAAGGCUUUGGCCGGAUUUGGGUGGGCUCGCGGUCUAUCAGCUUGUUGGUGGGGUGAUGGCUUACCAAGGCUUUGACGGGUAGCCGGCCUGAGAGGGUGGUCGGUCACAUUGGGACUGAGAUACGGCCCAGACUCCUGCGGGAGGCAGCAGUGGGGGAUAUUGCACAAUGGGCGAAAGCCUGAUGCAGCGACGCCGCGUGGGGGAUGAAGGCCUUCGGGUUGUAAACUUCUUUUGCUCUGAACAAGGCAUGCCAGUGGGUGUGUUGAGUGUAGGGGUUGAUUAGCGCCGGCUAACUACGUG